GUGGGUAGUUUGACUGGGGCGGUCUCCUCCUAAAGAGUAACGGAGGAGCACGAAGGUUGGCUAAUCCUGGUCGGACAUCAGGAGGUUAGUGCAAUGGCAUAAGCCAGCUUGACUGCGAGCGUGACGGCGCGAGCAGGUGCGAAAGCAGGUCAUAGUGAUCCGGUGGUUCUGAAUGGAAGGGCCAUCGCUCAACGGAUAAAAGGUACUCCGGGGAUAACAGGCUGAUACCGCCCAAGAGUUCAUAUCGACGGCGGUGUUUGGCACCUCGAUGUCGGCUCAUCACAUCCUGGGGCUGAAGUAGGUCCCAAGGGUAUGGCUGUUCGCCAUUUAAAGUGGUACGCGAGCUGGGUUUAGAACGUCGUGAGACAGUUCGGUCCCUAUCUGCCGUGGGCGCUGGAGAACUGAGGGGGGCUGCUCCUAGUACGAGAGGACCGGAGUGGACGCAUCACUGGUGUUCGGGUUGUCAUGCCAAUGGCACUGCCCGGUAGCUAAAUGCGGAAGAGAUAAGUGCUGAAAGCAUCUAAGCACGAAACUUGCCCCGAGAUGAGUUCUCCCUGACUCCUUGAGAGUCCUGAAGGAACGUUGAAGACGACGACGUUGAUAGGCCGGGUGUGUAAGCGCAGCGAUGCGUUGAGCUAACCGGUACUAAUGAACCGUGAGGCUUAACC
rnacentral:rRNA from 1 species